rnacentral:lncRNA from 1 species
AAAUGGCGCCGGAGAAUAAGGCAGACGUUUUACUUGUUCCCAACCGAUUGUGUUUUUUGUUAGUUUAUUUGCGUUUUUUUGUAACUUAUUUUGUACAUAAUGUUGCCUCUACCGUCUCUUAUGACUGAAAAUAACUUCUGGACAUCAGGACUGUGAUUACCUACCACGGACUGGCAGAAUCCUUUGUUCCCUUUAACGAGUCUGACGAGCCCGAUGCGACAAAAAAUAUACUGCUUUCUCGGGAACAGGCCCAGAUCCCGGUGAUUUGCGUGAAGAGGAGGCGGAGAAAAAGGGGCCAAAGGGCGGGCUGCCUUCUGAGAAUUCGUAGGUGAUCGAAUAAAUUCUCACUUCCUUCCAUUCUGCUAGCAAACGUGCAAUCUUUGUAGAAUAAAAUAGAUAACCUACGCGCAAGAUUAAACUACCAACGGGACAUUCAAAACUGUAAUAUGUUAUGCUUCACGGAGUCGUGGCUGAACGACGACACUAUCAACAUACAGCUGGCUGGUUAUACGCUGUACCGGCAGGAUAGAACAGCGGCAUCUGAGAUUCAUGAAUGAAAACGGGGAUGCAGUAAAGAGGUUCUCUGACCAAUUAUCCGCCACCUCCCUCAUGACCUGGUAAAAUAGACUGACUCUCGAUAUGUUAUUGGCAGAAGAGGGCGGUGUAGGUAGAAUGAUUAGGUUCAUCGCUGCAUGUGCAUUCCUGAUAACACAUCUCAUGUUUGGGAAAUGGAAAAGUGUUGUAAGAACUGUAUUAUGGGCUGCUUUCACCUGUAUGAGUGUGUUUGUAUUGUGUGGAUGGUGUUUCAUCCCAUGUGUGAGUGGUUUAAUAACCAGGACUCUAGAGAGAUCGAUGACGCAGCAGAUGGUGAGAUAUGGACCAAUUCAGAGCUCCGAUCAGUGGGAUGGCGAAUGCGGGCCUCCAGGCCAGGAAGAUGGCUCCGUUUCUUUUAAUCAUGAGAUGCCAAUGUUUGAUGAAACCAUUUUCAUCGUUUAGAUUGAAUUUUUAACGUUUAGAUUGACUGUUCCUUUAAUGAAAAUUAUGAUGAAAAUCCUAAAUCGAAGUGUCAUAAUUGGAAAUAGGCCCAGGACAGUCAUUGAGGAGUAGGAGAAAUAUUCAUGUAUUGGUCUUGUUUAAACCUUGUAUCACAAUUGUGUUUCCAUAUAGCGUUUGAUUAUGUGUGAUUACAUAUAGCGUGUGAUUAUUUGUGUUUCCAUAUAGCGUGUGAUUAUGUGUGAUUACAUAUAGCAUGUGAUUAGUAGGGUUCUCAUAUAGCAUUUGAUCAUCAUGGUGAAUUAUUUAAUCAUUUAAGGGUGGAAUUGAUAAGAGAAUUAUCUAAUAGAGGUAAAUGAAUCAAUAAACCAUGAUGAAUCAUUAGUCAUACAGCAUGGUUAAUGAAUAAUCAAUGUAAUGAUCAACGUAGUGAUCGAUUGGUCUGAUUAGUUCCAGAAAGUCCAGGAAUCACUGGAGAGGGAAAGAAAUGUGUGUAUGCAAUUAGUAUAGAGAGCAGGGGACAGAUGGUAAAGGGAGUAAAACUUCAAAGGGUUCCUAACCUUGAGGGAAAGGAACAGGCUGAGCUAGAUAGUGAUAAACAGUGUGUGAAGUCAAUGGGGGAUGCAGGUCACCAACAGUUUGUGUGUAAAUGCAUGUGCGUAAGUAAGCAAGAACUAAAAAAUGACUGUUUUGUU